UAAAUACUACCUCCUUUUCUUGUUUGAUAGUUUUCCCAACUAUCAAGAAGCUACAUCUGCUAACCGGUUUCAAUUUUUAUUUCAAAAACUUUUUCAAGUAGGAUUUUAGUGCAUAUUUUAUAUUUAUCAGCAUGUCGGGAUAAACUUCAAAAGUUUCAAGUAUAUAAGCAUUGAAAUAAAUAUAUUUUGCUAAUAUAUGUAUAUACACGUAUAGCAAGUUGUUAAGAAUAACAACACAAAAAUCACCAGCAUAUUACACAAAGUUGUCCAAUUUGGAAGUAGAAGACUUCCAAGAUCCACCUGAAAUAAAACUUUUGACUUUUCAAAACAAAAUACUCUUUCUCACCAAAACAAGGAAACUCUUCCAGAUCUAGAAUAACGCAGAAAAUGACAGGUAAGAUAUCCGCUAAAAGUCGAGAUAGGAAACGGAUUUUUUGGUAACCUUAGGGAGAUAAAAGGGAACGAUGGAAAUAUGUUUGGCUACAGCAGAAGGAACCUUUCAAACUCAGGAGAGGUGGUCAA
rnacentral:lncRNA from 1 species